UUCUUCUCCCAGCAGGGAAGGGGAGAGAAGGAGAACACGAAGUGAGGCAUGGGAAUGAGACAAUGGUGGGAAAAGAGGACGCUGGAAGGAAGAUCUACUCUUCCAGUCUGCAGGUGGCCCCCGAGGAGCCGCAGUAGGUCAUGCAUCCCCAAAGAACAUUCAAGUCUGAGCCUCAAGGAGCCUCUGCGACUCGGUGUCUAGAUCCAGGAAAUGGAGAAUGAGCCGUGACUUUGGAUGCUUCACUCUUGUCCAUCAGGCUCGGAAUUGGUGAGCAUCUCCCACAUUACCGUCUCCAACGGAACAAGGUGCCCCAUUGGACAUUUCCUCUGCAUGGACCAGCCAUUCUCCAAAUCUGCCCCCAUGUCACCCCAGCUCCCCAUCGCAGUCACUUCUCACUCCUUGUCCCCUGUCCCCCUGAGUGACAGGACUUUUGCCAGUUAGGUCCUGUCCCUGUUUCUGAUCUUGGGUCCAUUCCCCAUGGUCCCUUUCUUGCUUGUGCCUUGGGAUCUCAGGCCUGUUGAAGUAGGAGGCAGGACUCAACUUCAGACCAGAUUGAAGACUGGCUGACACAGAAGAGGCACCAAAAGCACCUCUCUCUCCAUAAGACAUGCCCACCAGUGCCAUGACAGUUUACCAUUGCUAUGGCAAUGCCCAGAAGUUCUCACCCCUUUUCCAGACAUUUCUGCAUAAUCUACCCCUCAAUUGGCAUGUGAUCAAAAGUGGGUGUCAAAAUGACUGUGGAACUGUCCCUGAGCUGCUACUCUUGACAUGCUGGUUACAGGGUAGCCCGGCUCUGCAGGGACAGUCACGGAGCUGAAAAACUGCUGCCUAAUGAAGCUGUUUUCUUCUA
rnacentral:lncRNA from 1 species